rnacentral:lncRNA from 1 species
AAGCAUAUAACAUUUAUAUGAGACGGCUUAAAACAAUAAUAUUUGCCCUUCAUAUUAAACUAGAUUAGUUUAACAUGUGAAAUGUCCGUAAAGUAUCAUCAUAUGAUUGGUUUUAUGGCACAUUUCCAACAAUCUUCCACUUGCACUAGAGCCAAUCAGCUUGGUCAUCAGUGAUGAUACCUCUUCUGUAGUCAUUUCAAAAAUGGCUGAGUAGUAGGCCUAGACAAUGGAUAUCUAUAUGUUAUCCAUAGAAGCAACCUUGAGAACAACGACGUCACCAUUAUACAUGAUUCUCAAUCAUGUGGUUCAGUCUCUCAUUUGAGUUCGAAGCUUGAUGAGACCUUGAUUCCCUGGCUUGAGCUAUCGCCCCAUUAGUGUCGUAGUGUCGGUACACUAGAGACACUUUCUGGUUGGAACCGAAUAGAUAGUUCAUAAAUGAACUUUCCCAUCCAAACAACAUUGUUGUAAGCUUCUAUAUGGCAAUAUAUUUGCAUUCACAAUGGAACAUACUAAAGUCAUUACUUUUAAUGUUUCCAUCCUAAUAUCUCUUUAGUCAUAAUAAAGAUAUAUCUAGUUAUCUCUUUAUUCAUAAUGAAGAAACAUCCAAUGAUGGAUUAGAUUCAUAAUCUAAAACAUUUACGCUUCCUUUACGUUACUCUAAUUCUUCCUCAUUCUUUGAGGAAUCUAUCCUUUAGUAUUUCUUAAAUACUUAAGGACUCACUUGACAGUUGCCAUGGUUCUGAUCUUGGGCUUGCACUGAUAUCGUCUUGUACCUUUCUAGGUACAAUUCAUAUUAAUGUUUUCAUACAAUAUGAAAUACAUAAAUCACCUUUCUGCGUAUGCAUAAAGGAUUCUAUUUACGCAUUAUUUCUUUUGGGAGUCAAAGGGUACGUUCCCUUUGAGAAGGGCAACUUGCUAGUCACUAGACUCGUCCUUCUAAUUGAAGUUUAUCAUCAUAUGAGAAACUUCCUAGCAUCUUUUGUCUAUUAUUAGGGAUUGAUAUAAUCAAAUUAUAUCUUGAAAUAUAUCAUUAUAGAUUUCCAUCCCAUGUUUAUAGACUAUGUCUCCCAUAUACAUUCUAUCGUUAUAGAAUGUUUAAAGUCAUAACUUUAACGAAGAAGUAUUCUUUUCAUUUCCAAAAUUAAUAUAUCAUAUAUAUAUAUAUAUAUAUACAAAUUUAGGAAUAUGAUUAACUCCCACUAAUAUUUUGUAAACCUAGUAACCAAAAGAUUCAUUUACAUCUUUAUGAGAAAUCAAACGAUUUGAUCUUUCUCUCAUAAGACGCUUAUUGCUCCCACUAGCUUGCUAAGAUCCAUGAUGGAUGGAUCUCUACAACUUACAUGUCUUGUGAUUCAUAGUUUUAGACAUAUAUUAUCAAGAGUAUCUUAAUAAUGGUUUCGGAAACCCAUGUUAUGUCCAAACAUUGAAUCACCAUUUAGUUGUAGCUAGCAAUCUUCGAAUUAAUUGAAAACAAGACUACGUCAAAGAUGAAGGAUUAUUUUGUGAAAACAUGUUCAUUUGAGCAACAUCAUAUAGCAUGCAAUUAACAAUUAAAGGCGGAAUCUGUUGGAAAUAUGCCCUGAAAGUCAAUCUUUGGAAGAAACCUUUCAGGACAAAUGAAUCGAUGUAUGGAUGAAUCUUAUACAUCAAAUGGCAAAGACACGAAUUAGGACUAUCUCAAUAAACGAUAUAUGUCCUAAAUAAUGUAUCCAUGGACAAUGGAUCGAUUGAAGAAGUAAUCUAAUGAUGUUAGACUACAGAGACCUUCUUCACAUAACCAUUGUGUCCAAAAGGUUCCUAGUCAUUGGAUUGUCGGAGGGAAACUGACAAUGCUUAGACCGGUACAUACUAUGUCCGCUUCAAAUGGAAGGAUGGAAAGUCUCAUCCCAUUCGUGUUGUGACACUAAGACAAGUAUG